rnacentral:tRNA from 1 species
GCACUUAUAGCUCAGAGGUAGAGCAAGUGAUUGCAGCUCACUAGGUCCCUGGUUCAAUUCCGGGUGAGUGCU